CCCUUAGAUGUUCAGGGCUGCACGCGCGCUACACUGAUGCACUCAACGAGUUUACGACCUUGCCCGAUAGGGUUGGGUAAUCUUUUUAAAAUGCAUCGUGAUGGGGAUAGAUUAUUGCAAUUAUUAAUCUUCAACGAGGAAUUCCUAGUAAGCGCGAGUCAUCAGCUCGUGCUGAUUACGUCCCUGCCCUUUGUACACACCGCCCGUCGCUCCUACCGAUUGAGUGCUCAGGUGAAUAAUUCGGACUGCAGCAAUGUUUGGAUCCCGAACGUUGCAGCGGAAAGUUUAGUGAACCUUAUCACUUAGAGGAAGGAGAAGUCGUAACA
rnacentral:rRNA from 1 species